UAAAUGUAAGGAACAAAUGUCUAGGGUGUUUUUUAUCUAUUAAAAAGAUUGUAUCAAUCUCUAAAUCUAAUAAGUAAAAUUUUGUAAUAUUCCAGCUUCAGGAAGUUUAUCCUAUCAUAAUGGAGGUGAUUAGCUACUUUGAACCUACUUUCAUGGAUCUACCAUAUUACUUUUUUUUUUUACUAUGACAUUUGACUUUAUGUUACUUUUCAAAGAAGGUGUAAUUUAUACGUAUAACGUGCAUCACAUGCACUUUUAAUGAUGCAGGCAAAUAAUUUUGAUGCAAUAUAAAAGGCAAGCGUGAACUGUAGAUCUACCCAGAUUAGAUUCAAUAAGAAUUGAAGGUCAAAAUCAUGGUGGUAACACGAGAAUCUGUAUACAAGAUUUUUAGGCUUGUUAAAUGGAAAAAUUAUAUGAAAAUAAUAGUCUCCAGUAAUAUCUACAUUUUAAUUCAUAUGAGAAAUCUUAGAACAGUUUCAAUAUUCAGACAGAUCAUGAGAUGGAAACCAAUGUAAUUGAGACGAAAAGGGAGUACAACUCGAAAUAUCAAGGAAAAACAAGAAAGGCCUUUGCGAUCAGCAGAUGAUGUCCUAUACAACCAUCCUUCCAUGACACAUGCAAUGGGAAGUUUAUUUCAGGAAACAAAGCCUGUCUGAAACUCCAAAAUGACAUUUCCAGAAAGCUGAAGAAUGGAUAAAAAUGUAUCUACCAUCUUACAACCCAGAUUUCAUUCCACUGAAAAGAAAAGGGACAGGAAAUGUUGCAUGUCCAUAUCUUGGAAGGUGAAUAGGUGGAAAGUCAAUAGAUGCUUACCAUAUCAGAUGCUUGUAGAUGAUAAUGGGGAUAAAGUAGCAGAAAAUUAGGGAAAACAGGGAAGUGGCAGCCAGGACUAUGGAGGGGAGGUGACAAUGACAGUGAGAUGGCGUUAGGUUGGACACCAGAAGGGAAGAGGGCAUUUAAGAGACCAAAAACAACCUGGAGAGGAACAGUAGAAGCAGAAAGAAAGAUUGCAGAAUGGAGAAACUUGAAUGAGAUCAAGAUGGUAGCAAUAGAACAGAGUGGAUUGGAGAGAGUCUCGGUCCUAUGUGUUUUGGCAUGGAGAGAACUAAGUAAUGUCUAGAUUGUUGGAGAUAGGAUGACCAGGAAUAUGAAUGGAUGUGCUGGAAACUAUACUAAGACCCUUAUGUAUUUGGAUAGAUUUACCUACCAUCAUGAUUUUGCUAUGAAAAACUUGAAAAAAAUCCUCAACUCAUAUUGUAGCUGACAUUGUACAUUUGUACUUAUUAAUAUUUCAAAUGAACAUGUUUUUAGACAUACAAUAUCUAAACUUUGGAGUCCAUGUACAUCUCCACAUUGGAUAAUAGGUUAUGAUAUAUGAGUGUGAAAUCUUUUCCUAUGGUAUGCACAUGUUAACACAUUAGUUUAAAUGAUGAUGUAUAUCUUAUGACUAUGGAAGAGAAUGUGUUCAGAACAGAAUAUGUGUUUAGAAGAGUUGUUGCCCUUGAAUGUAAGUUAUUAUUUACAUGGGAUUGAAAAAUAAUCCAGCACACAGUAGUACCAAAAUGCAUUAUGUUAAAAUACAUUUAUGAAUGGUAUAAGUGAUACUGUCAAUUACUGAUAAAUACACUUUGUGAAAUCAUAUUAUUGUUAUGUUUAAUAAAUUUCAAGGCUGCACCUUUGUACAUUUUACAAUAUAAUAUUCUGCACUUUGGUAUCAAAUUCUCUUAACCUAAUUUAAGAGUUACAUAUUCAUUAACAGCAAGUUAAUUAUGAUAUGCUAUGUAGUUUGUCAAAGGGGCAUUAGCUGCGAAAGUGAUGGCAACCUUUUUAUUCAAAAUCUCUCAUUAAGAAUAUAUAUUAAUGCAUAAUAAUAUUUAUUUUGUACAAAAACAUGAGAAACCUAAUAAAACGACAAUAGAUUGUCACUUUUAGUGUAUAGAAAUACAUAAGGACGAAUUAUUGUCUUGCAAGACAAUAAUCAUUUAAUUACCAAAAUUCAUGUGAUAUUCAUACACAUUCAUGUACCUGUUUUGGGGUUAAAAGGUGUUUGAAAUAAUUAAAUACUGGUGUUAUCACUGAAAUAUACAUGUAUGAUAUGGAGCAAAUUUCAUUUAAUUCACUUUUUGGUAUCAAAAUGACAGCUAAUGCCCCUUUAAGAAUAAGUAUUUUCAAUGCACAUCAUAAUAACGUUGUUAAGCUUGAAAGAAUAUUGGCUAUAAGGAAUCUUGAUCAUACAUAUAAAUAUUAAAAAUAUUUUUAAUUUCUCUCAAGGAGUCCUUAUAAACAAGCAUAAAAUCAUGAUUAUAGUACAUUGACUCUUGUGUGUUUCAAUCUGUUAGACUUUCCAAUUUUAUUGCAUUUCUUGGAAGUUGUGUUAAAGGAAUUGGUGGUCUUGGAAGGUUGUUGUAGUGAACAGCAAAGGUCAACUGCUUUGUAUACCUAGUCACCAAGGGCAAGGGUAGAGGUCAUGUGGUUCUGCAUUUCACAGGGCCAGUUAAGGGGCUAAAAGAAUAUAGUGUUAAUGACAAUUAUUUCCAUGAAUAAUGAGAGACAUCUCCCAUCUCUUGUUAUAGUGUUCUUCUUUAAAGAUUUUGUGGGAGAUGAGAAAUACUUUAUUUGAUGCACAGACACCAAAUUAAAAGUGGAGCUUGUUGAUCCUAAGUGAUAUCCCUGCCAUUAUCUUCAAUGCAGUCUCUCAUGUGUCUUAUAAAGGUUUGCAAACACUAGUGCUUGGAUAAUGCACAGACACACGAAAUGUGGGUAGUGUACGUGUACAGAUGUUGUGUACCCACCACCACCCCUCCACUGUCUACAAAAUAUAUACCUGUAGAACCAGUAAUAUCACCAGAAUAUGUUAUUUCCCCACCGAUCACCUUCAUAAGUCAUUAUGAAGUCAGUUCUACAUUCUAUGAGCUCUGGUGAGAUAUUGAUACAUACCGUACCACUUGAUCUAAAAGAAAUCCAUUUUACCACCGUCCCAUUCCAAUUUGAUAUCCUUUACUCUCAUGCGCUUUAAAUCGGAGACGGGAUACUUUUAAAACUUUGAUAAAGUUGAAUUUUCCAUUAUAUUCACAAGCACAGUAAAUUAUCAUCCCUUGCGAUUUAUGAUAUACAUUGCAUGGUAGGAUGAAUCCGCCCCCUUCUUUACAUGUAUGGUGUUGAAGUUUGGAAUAGAGAACAUCUGUUAUGGAUUUUUGGACCCUUUUUUAUUUUCGUAUGAUAGUCAAGAAUUUUAGACUUUGCUACCCCCCCCCCCCCUUCAGGAAAAAAACCCAACGUUAUGUGUCUGUCUGAUGCUCUUAAGAUUCUUAUGUGCAACAAAAAUGGAAGUUCAGUAAAAUUUCUGGCAACUUUCUUGCAUAUUGUAUUGAAAAAAAAAUUUGAUUUCUAGUCAAUAUUAGCCCUAAAAUAAUAUAUGUCUCUGAUAUAAAGCCUACCAAAAAUACCGUGUAAUUUCAUUCCAAAUGUACCUAGCCAAAUUUGUCAUGUAAUUGGAUAUGUGAGGUAUUUUAUAUCUAUUAGAAAAUAUUUUAUUAAUUUUUUAAUUAAUUUAUUAAUUUUUCGAAUUUGAAUAUGGCGUAUUAUACGCCAACAAUUAUUCCGGAAAUAUAUUAUCUAUUGGUGACGUUUCACCCAAGUAAGUAUAAUCUCGCGAGAAUACCGCUUGUUUUCAUCUGCCCGUGUAGCACAUUCGUUAACAUUAUACUUUCGAUAUAUCGGCAAUAGUUUUAGUUAUAUCAAUGCAUGUUCUAUAAAUUCUUUUCAUUUUGAUCUUAGCAAUUCUGUUGGUGUCGUCUAAAUAAAAACUUUCUAUAGCAUUGAAGGUCCGAUUUGUCGGAGAGCAGAUUCAUUUAUUUACGCAUUAAAUUUCUAUAGCUUUUAGAAUUCCUGCACAAACUUGUGAUAAAAACACCACAUAGGGGUGUAUUCUGUAUGGAAAUGAUGUAGACUCCACAUAAGUAUAUUGUUUUAAUUUUUCAAAGCAACAUAAUUAAUAAAAUACCCACAACUCUCACAAAAUUAAAUAAUUCCAGAUUGCUCUCGAUUUAAUUCUAAGUUGAUAUUCAUCAACAGCACACCUUUCGAUCCAAAAAACCGUUCGUGCAAAAUUUAUUUGUAUUGAUACAUUUUGAUAGACUACAGUCAGUUUCUGGAUCGAAGGUCGUGUUUUAUAUGAAUUAUAUGACUAAAUUUGAAAAAAGUGAAGAUUUCUGCAGAAAACCAGACCGAUACCGGUUUUGUCUUGUAUAGAAUUCCACAAGCUGACGUUUUGGCGGGGAAAUCUUGGCACGUCGCGAUGGUAUAAAGAUUAUAUUAUCAAAUGAUAACAAUCUUAUUUCAAUUCAUUAUGCUUUAUUUUUUAACACACCACAGGGCCGAUAUAGCUAAACAUGGUCUUAGUCCUUUAUCCAAGUGAAGUAAAUUCAGUUCACCGUCAUAGAUUGAAUGUUUUGUUUAUAAUAAAACCAUAUAUAAGCCUAU